AGUAACGCGUGGGCAACCUGCCUUAUACAGGGGGAUAACAGCUGGAAACAGUUGCUAAUACCGCAUAAGCGCACAGUGUCGCAUGGCACAGUGUGAAAAACUAAGGUGGUAUAAGAUGGGCCCGCGUCUGAUUAGCUAGUUGGGAGGGUAACGGCCUGCCAAGGCAACGAUCAGUAGCCGGCCUGAGAGGGCGGACGGCCACAUUGGGACUGAGACACGGCCCAGACUCCUACGGAAGGCAGCAG
rnacentral:rRNA from 1 species